rnacentral:lncRNA from 10 species
UGCUAUUCUCAUGACAGUGAGUAAUUUCUCACAAGAUCUGAUGGUUUUAUAAGGGGCUUCCCCCUUCACUUGGCUCUCAUUCUUCUCCUUCCUGUCACCAUGUGAAAGAUAUGCUUGUUUCCUCUUCUGCCGUGAUUGCUUAUAAACAGAAGGGACUUGCCUUGUCUCAGAUGAGACUUUGGACUUAGACUUUUGGGUAAUGCUGCAAUGAGCUAAGACCUGCGCUGAUGGAAAGACUGAAGUACAGUGACACGAUCUUGGCUCACUGCAACCUCUGCUUCCUGGGUUCGAGCGAUUCUCCGGCCUCAGUCUCCCAAGCAGCUGAAACUACAGAUGCAGAUAAGAAACGUGGGAAGCCACAAGAAAGCCAAGUAGCCUGGGAAAAAGUGGUCAUUGAGCCAUGAGAAAAAAUUAACAUUUGAUCCUGUUGGUGCCACCUGAAGGCAGAGAUGGCUGAGGACCCCCGAGUCUCCAUCCAUGUUGCUGCAAAUGAUAGAAUCUCAUCUUUUUUUCAAUUGCUGAAUAGUACUCCGAAACAGUGUGUAUUUGGUAAGUGCUGAUAUAUGUAAACACCACUGAAGUCUUCAGCAAAAUCAGAAUAAUGAACAUGUGUCAAUCCCAAAAACUUCUAUCUGUCUUCUUUGUAUUUCAUUUCUCCCAUCCCUCUACCCCCAUCCCCCAUCCCCAGGCAAAACUAAUCUGCUUCCUUUAUUUACUAUUGGUUAGUUUGCAUUUUCUAGAAUUUUGUAUAAAUAGACUCAUAUAGAAUGUACUCUGUUUUGGUCUAGUUUCUUUAAUUUAGCAUAAUUAUUGUGAGAUGCAUCUAUGUUGUUGCAUACAUCUUUUUUUUUUGCUGAGUAGUAAUCUAUUGUAUAAAUGUAACACCAAUUUACUAUUUCAUUGAUAGAUAUUUUAGUUGUUUCCAAGUUUAGUUUAGGUUAUUACUUAAACAUGAAAUUAUGAAUGUUCAUGUUUAAGUCAUUGUGUGAAAACAUGCUUUUAUUAUUUUUGAAUAUAUACCUAGAAGUAAAAUUGUUGGAUCAUAUGGUUAGUAUAUGUUUACUUUUCUGGGAUAAUGUCAAUGUCUUAGUAUAUAUUCUAGAUGUUGUUUUUUCUUGUUACUUUACUUUUUAAUCAAAAUAAUCUGUCAAUAACUUUAGAGAAGUAAAAUUUUCUUCUAGAAUUCCCCAUAAUUUUUGCUUUAUAUUUUACUAUAUUUUUCUGUAUAUAUAUUUGCUACAUUUGCCAAAAUAUGUCUUGUAUAUUGAAGUCAUGUUAGUUACCCACAUGAUCAGAGCAUUAGCAUUAUGUUGUAAUGCUUUGCCAAUUUUUUUCUUUUAUUUGUCCGUAUGUCUGUUUUGCUUGAUAUUAAUAUAACCAACUUUCAUUUACUUUAUAUAUCAUUUCCAUUCUUUGACUUCAAAACUCUCUGACUUUAUGUUUUUGCCUCUUGUAAAG